CAGCCGCCGCGGGAAAACCAGCACCUCGAGUGGUCAGGAGGUUUAUUGGGCCUAAAGCAUCCGUAGCCGGUUGCAUAAGUUUUCGGUUAAAUCUAUGCGCUUAACGUAUAGGCCGCCGAAAAUACUGUGCAGCUAGGGAGUGGGAGAGGUACACGGUACUCGAUAGGAAGGGGUAAAAUCCUUUGAUCUAUUGAUGACCACCUGUGGCGAAGGCGGUGUACCAGAACACGUUCGACGGUGAGGGAUGAAAGCUGGGGGAGCAAACCGGAUUAGAUACCCCGGUAGUCCCUGUCUCUUAUAC
rnacentral:rRNA from 1 species